CUCACAGUAGAGGAAGCGAUGCGCUAACGUGUCAGUAAAGAAGCUGAUGAGAAAUCACGCUUUGCCUUCACCAAACAUCCUGGAGAAAUUUUACAGCAGGAGAGAGAACAGGUAUUUUGACAGAAAGAUAAGGAGAAGAGCUUCCACUUCUGAAUAAACUGAGUCAAAAGUAGUGGAGUGGUCCACACACUGUCCAGUAGAGGACUCCUACUUCAGCUGAGGUUAAACCACAGCUUCUGUGAGUCAGUUUUGCUAAUGAGAUCCUUGAUUUCACAGUUAUGCUUCUUUCAACAGCGGCACUCUGCAUGUACACGUUACAGUUGGAAGGUGAAUGGCUUCGUGGCCCAUUACAGAAGUCAUCAAAGAACUUGGAGUUCCCAUGGGAGAACUUUGAACUUCCCUGAAAGAAAAAAAAUACCCUAACUUCAUCAGUUUCUCCACUUGUAACUGUGUGGUCAGUAUAUACUGGCUUGAAGAACUGCACUGUUGUCAGGUCUUUCCUGGUCUUUACAGAUAAACUUUUUUGUGUCUUUAAGCUGCUGUUUCUUCUCCUGUCUUUGUGUCAUCUGUUCCACUCACGUGUGGUUUAAUGGAAUGGUGGAAGAUAUCAAGCAAUUAGAUUUUCAUCUGUCCAUAUUUACUUGUACAAAAUUAGGUGAUCAUAUUCACUAUGUAAGUCCUUGAAAAAAGAGAAAACUUCAUUCAAGAUCCAUGAUUAGAAAUUAUUCUUUACUGGUUAAGAAAUUGUGAUAGAUCAG
rnacentral:lncRNA from 1 species